CGCUGCGAAUGGUAAAGUUUCACAGUGGUACUAUUUCUACAUUAAUAUUUCUACUCAGUAAAGGAAGCCAAAUAGGAAGAGUUGUAUUUUUUACAAAGUAGACUUCUGUUAGAGUGAAGGAGCCCUUAAUUCUAGCCAUCUUGUCUCUUUAUGGAAGGGUGUUGCUUUUGGGUGUUUGAAGUGUAAAUCUGGGAACUCUUUAGCUAUAGCCUUAAAGCCAUUUCUAAGGUAACCAGCAUCCAAAACACAGACAGCUUUAUAAGUCAGAAUUCACACCUUGAAUUGUUUCCCCAAGCCAAAUGGAAGUUCUCAAAACUUCUGGAGCCCAGUGAUGUAAUCGUGUUACCAAUUUCCUGGUCAGAUGUAGCUCCAGCAUUCUUACCAGUUAAAAGUUUCUCUCUCUUGUAGGCGUGUGUGGUUAUUGAGAAUAGCUGUAUGUAGGGCAUCCAGUUGUAAUCCAGUUGAGAAAUUAGACUGCCAAAGGUCACAGUGGCCAUUAUGAAGUCAAUUUAUUUUCUUUCAAUCCAGACCAGGCUACCCCUUAGGGCUGCAGCCACAUGUUUGGCCUGUUUCUGGGAGAGGGCAAAAAUCCAUACACCUGAUCACACACUCAAGCUCUCAUCAAAAUAACCCCAACCUAAGUCAGCUUGAUCUGCUCUGAUAAGGACAUUGAUUGGAUUUGAGGACCAAGAUCAGAAGCAACAGGACAAGGAUGACAGAGGGAGGAGAGGUGAACACUGAAGAUGCAGUAUGGCCAUGCUGUUUGUUGUUGAUGCCCUGCUUGACAUUUCAAAAACCGUGUGAACAGUUGGUAGAGUAGAGGAAUUACAGUCAGAAGAAGAGAUGACAAAAAACAGAAAGAAGGUCUGCUUCCUCAACCAGGAUGAUGCAUUGAAUUGUGACACACAGAGAAAUUAACUAUCUUUCCCAUGAGAAAUAAUUUAUCAUUCAGCAUUUGCUAUUAAUGUGCCUCUGCUGCAAGUGAAUGAAGCCAUAUAAAGUGUAUGGAAACUAUGCAGUAGAUGAACACUGCGUCAUUAAGAACCAAUGCUACGCAUGCAGGAGGGAGAGGGGCAUUCUCAACUCUGCCUGGACAGGCUGCAGCUGGAGGCUAUUCAUAAGGUACGUUUCAGUCCAAACCUGGACUCCUAUGGAUGGCUGGUAUCUGGGGGGCAGUCAGGGCUGGUUCAAAUCCAUUUUGUCUGUGGACUUGCCUCCCCACUGGGCCACCGUAUGCAGCUUGAAAGUCGAGCCCACUUCAAUGCUAUGUUCCAACCAUCCUCCCCCACUAGACGGCCUGGCUUCUCUCCAACCAGCCAUCACCUUCUGCCCACUCCCUAGCUUUGGUCCACGAGACACCGUUGGAGUGAAGUCGGUCAAGAACAAAUGGCCCUUAUGCACAGAGCCAUAG
rnacentral:lncRNA from 13 species